rnacentral:rRNA from 1 species
UACGGAGGGUGCAAGCGUUAUCCGGAUUCACUGGGUUUAAAGGGUGCGUAGGUGGGCAGGUAAGUCAGUGGUGAAAUCUCCGGGCUUGACCCGGAAACUGCCAUUGAUACUAUCUGUCUUGAAUACCCUGGAGGUGAGCGGAAUAUGUCAUGUAGCGGUGAAAUGCUUAGAUAUGACAUAGAACACCCAUUGCGAAGGCAGCUCACUACGGGAAUAUUGACACUGAGGCACGAAAGCGUGGGGAUCAAACAGG